rnacentral:rRNA from 1 species
AACGAACGCUGGCGGCAGGCUUAACACAUGCAAGUCGAGCGAGAUCUUCGGAUCUAGCGGCGGACGGGUGAGUAACGCGUGGGAACGUGCCCUUUUCUACGGAAUAGCCUCGGGAAACUGAGAGUAAUACCGUAUACGCCCAGUAAUGGGGAAAGAUUUAUCGGAGAAGGAUCGGCCCGCGUUAGAUUAGGUAGUUGGUGGGGUAAUGGCCUACCAAGCCGACGAUCUAUAGCUGGUUUGGGAGGAUGAUCAGCCACACUGGGACUGAGACACGGCCCAGACUCCUACGGGAGGCAGCAGUGGGGAAUCUUAGACAAUGGGGGCAACCCUGAUCUAGCCAUGCCGCGUGAGUGAUGAAGGCCUUAGGGUUGUAAAGCUCUUUCAGCUGGGAAGAUAAUGACGGUACCAGCAGAAGAAGCCCCGGCUAACUCCGUGCCAGCCGCCGCCGUAA